UUUACUAGGUAUCUAAAAUUGGAUAUUUUCAUGGUGCAAUACACCUACAAAAGGUGGGAUGAGUAGUCGAGACAUAUGUAAAAGCUUCAAGCAUAAGACCAGUGGGUGAGGAUGCCCAACAAACAACCUGCUUAAAAGCAAUACAUUCAUCUGAACAACCACUGUCAAGGUAAUUAAUCUUAUAACCGGCUUAAAGGACAUUAUUAUAUAACGAUCAAAUUUCAUAUAUAUCAACUUCCUCCAAGUUGCAAACUUCGGUUUCUAUUGGUCCAAAUUUAUAUAUCUUUUUGCUUCAUUUGUGUUGGAGUUGACCAGGGUACAUUGGUAAAGUAUAUAUGUCAAUUUCAAUGGCUCGAAUCCAUAGAAUUGCUAUCACUCAUGACAUUAAAAUGGGUUAAAAAAAAUCUUUCAUUAGUCUAAAUACUUCUUUACUUCUAUUCAAUUUAUUCGAUGAUCACCAACUCAUUUUCUACAAAGGCUGAUGACUUUUUGCACAUCUUGGUCAGGGAUCCUAAACUCAGAUUUUUCUUUUGGCAUUCCAACAUUUUUUUACUCCAAUAUGACAUUCAUUUUUUCUCAUUUAUAGAAAUUAUCACAAAGUAACAUUAUUCAGAGAAGUACUUGCAUACAUUUGGAAAUUGUUUUCUGAGUAAACUUUGGUUAAUGGCAACUGCAUAUUAUCAGACUUAUAUGACAUUCCAUACUUUGGUUAAUGACAUUCCAACUUCUAGGAUGUAUUUAUAAAAGUAUUGUGUUUUAGGUUUAACAUUAUAUAACCUCCGAAAGGAUUUUGAAGUUGAGAUCAAAAGUUUCAACAAGUUGUGGUGUUUUUGCAUUGUAAAGUAAUAUAUACAAAAACUGAUGUCAUGUCAGGAUAAAGCAUCAACAUGUCGAUCCCUCCAGUUGUGUGGCUCAUGUAGGCCAUUUAAUACAGUAUGACGUAGCCUCGAAUAGCCUCAAAUUGAUAUGUUAAAAGUUGAUAUGUUUUUCUCCACUAUGUGAUAUACUUAUUAAAGAAAGAGACAAUGAUCAUGAGAUGACUAUGAUAGGAAGUGAAAGAGUUGGAUAGGUAACUAAAUUCAUCAACUUCUUCGCAGAAUUUAAUGUAUUGGUAGAUAACGAUUCAAGGCCCUUCUAUAUUUCUAUUGGAUAAAGACAAGGUAUUGGCAGAGCUUUGAUGAGACAAACUUUAGUAGUGAACUAAUACUACCACAGUGUGGUUAGUUUAGAUUACUUUUUGUUGCUUUUGAUGAAGACUUUUAUGUCUUAUUAGCUACGGUCAAGCAGAAAAUGAGCUGGAUCAAGAAUUUCUUACUACUCUACGGUAGAGCUGCGACGUAAGUUAGCAUGUGUGGAGUUUGAAUGGGAUGAUGUUUUCUCUUUUUCUCUUUUUUUUUUUUUUUGGUUAGAGUUUAGGGACUUCUCUUUUCUCGGUAUAUAGUAGACGUUCCCCAAUAUACGUAAUUAUAUUGUAUGUAAUUGGGGAAUGAUUAUAACCCGUUCGAGUCUGUAGAACAAGGUUUGUACCUUUCUCUCUCUUUUUGUAUUGUAAUGAGGCACCUCUGAUCCCUGGUAUUAUAGUAAUACCAUUACCUACUAAUGCAAAUACUGACCAGGGUCUCUCUGCAGUGUAAAUACUUCCACUUAUUAAUACUUACAGUAAUUGUAAAAUGAGCAAGUUCUAAUUGUCUCAUUAACCGGUCAGCACUCUCAUGUUUUUUAUCAGUUACAUACUCACAUUCUUACACUGCAGGUUCAUUGAUUGUUGCGUGUCCGUGAACCAACAGCAUGCAAAGCUGAACAUCCAUGGCUCGAUUUGGCAUUAAGGCCUCCAUCAAAGAAACAGUACAAAAUGAUUAAAACAGAACAGAUCAAUUAAGGGAUGCCUCAUUGCGUAACUGUGCAUUCUAUUUGAAGACACAUAAUAAGAGGGUACAGUCAGUUCUUUACAUUCUCUCUGAAUGUGCUCUCAACUAGACAUGAUAUGAUGUUUUGUUCUCUCACAAUGCUCUGAAGUUUUUAUUCAACAUAAUCUUAGACUUCUGAUUUUUGGAUCCUACAGACACGUCAAAUUGAACCUGAUCUUUAAAGUAGCUAAAGGAAUUGCUAUAUCACAUGAUAAAACCAAUCUGUUAUAUAUUUCCUUUAACUACACUGAACUGUCUCCCUUGACUAGGAGCAGAAAACCAUGGCAGGUAAUCUUUUU
rnacentral:lncRNA from 1 species